AAAGAAGAAUAUGGAAGCUGUGCAGUCAUGGAUUUCUCAACACAAGCUCACCACUAUUGGCACAGUAUGGGGUGGUGCAAUUGGUGCUUCACUGACUUACACACAUGCGAGAACCCCUCUCAAGCCAAGCCUUAGGCUGAUUCAUGCUAGGAUGCAUGCACAAGCCUUGACGCUGGCAGUCCUCUCCGGUGCGGCUGUCUACAAUUACUAUCAGAAACGUGUUCAGGAAA